UUGAAUUUUGCUAACACGGUCCCUCUCGAAAGCAAAGGUCAAGCCAGCCAGAUGCCCUUUUUAAUUUGAUGCUGGAAACACACACAGCCAUCUCAAAAUACAAAAUCCCUCCAGAGAUUCUCGAAGAAGCAUCUACUUUAUUGGCUAAACAAACAAACCCCAAGUCCCUGUCAACAUAAUAUCAAAGUCAAAUCUUUCAUCUUUGCUUUUGCCUUGCAAAGGAAAAAAAAAUCAACAUGCUUUCAAACUGGCCGGUGCAUUGAUUCCUCCACAAAGUGGAAUGGAAUGAAUGGAUGAAUCUCUUUUGCUGGAAAAAGAAAGGCCAACCAAGAGGGCAUAAAUGCAUUCAAUUACUAUCAGGUCUUUGCAAGCUGGGCUAUGCUGACAAUUUCUAGAACAUUGGAGCUUCAUCUCAUCCAGGAAAAUGCUGCAAUGGCAGCUAUGAAAGUUAAUGGCCCCGUACUCCAUUAGACUGUCAUGUGGUUGAGAUAUGUUUAGGGAAAAUUGUAGAUCAGGGACACCAUCUAAAGUUUGGGGCCCUGAGUAUCACAUCAUAAUCAAAUUUUAUGUCUUUUUCUGUGGCUGUAAUAUUUGACGGAACUUGAACUUGUACGAUUGAUUAUUGAGGGUUUUAAUGAGUUGCCCAUGACAGCCAUUUUCUGCA